UACGUAGGGUGCAAGCGUUGUCCGGAAUUAUUGGGCGUAAAGAGCUCGUAGGCGGUUUGUCGCGUCUGCUGUGAAAACCCGAGGCUCAACCUCGGGCCUGCAGUGGGUACGGGCAGACUAGAGUGCGGUAGGGGAGAUUGGAAUUCCUGGUGUAGCGGUGGAAUGCGCAGAUAUCAGGAGGAACACCGGUGGCGAAGGCGGGUCUCUGGGCCGAUACCGACGCUGAGGCACGAAAGCUAGGGGAGCAAACAGG
rnacentral:rRNA from 1 species